rnacentral:rRNA from 1 species
GCCCCAGACUCCUACGGGAGGCAGCAGUGGGGAAUAUUGCACAAUGGGGGGAACCCUGAUGCAGCAACGCCGCGUGGGUGAAGAAGUACUCCGGUAUGUAAAGCCCUGUCAGCAGGGAAGAAAAUGACGGUACCUGACCAAGAAGCCCCGGCUAACUACGUGCCAGCAGCCGCGGUAAUACGUAGGGGGCAAGCGUUAUCCGGAUUUACUGGGUGUAAAGGGAGCGUAGACGGCAAGGCAAGUCUGGAGUGAAAGCCCGUGGCCCAACCACGGGACUGCUUUGGAAACUGUGCGGCUAGAGUACUGGAGGGGCAGGCGGAAUUCCUAGUGUAGCGGUGAAAUGCGUAGAUAUUAGGAGGAACACCAGUGGCGAAGGCGGCCUGCUGGACAGUAACUGACGUUGAGGCUCGAAAGCGUGGGGAGCAAACAGGAUUAGAUACCCGAGUAUA